CUGCCAUGAACUGACCACUGAGCUUACAACUUGACAAGUCCAGUGUCUCUAAACUUGGCAUCGUGUCGAAGAAUGUUCUGUUGAUAACUGUCUGUAAUGCUGUUGUAUGACAAGCUGAGACGGCGAAGAUGACGUAGGUGGUCAAAGGUCGCGGGUACAGAGGUCAACUGGUUGCUAUCUAAUAAAAUGGACAUCGUUUUCUGGGGGAACCAGUUCGGCUGGCAGACGGUGACGUAACUGAUCUUCAACAAGAACGACAAUCCUUUUAGGGUUAGCAGACGUCAAAGCAGAU